CUAGGAAUCUUGCGCAAUGGACGAAAGUCUGACGCAGCGACACCGCGUGUCAGAAGACGCUUUUCGGAGUGUAAAUUACUGUGCCAGGGGCUGAAUUUUGACAGUACCCUGCUAGAAAGCACCUGCUAACUACGUGCCAGAAGCCUCGGUCAUACGUAGGGUGCAAGCGUUAUCCGGAUUUACCGGGCGUAAAGCAUACCGUCGGCGUCUUGUUUAGUCUUUAGUUUAAACCCAGGGCGCAACUCUGGAAGGGCUAAAGUUACUGGCAGGAUAGAGGCUGUUAGGGAGAGCUGGAAUUCUCGGUGGAGGGGUGAAAUCCGUAGAUAUCGAGAGGAACACCAUUCGCGAAGGCGAGCUCCUGGAAUAUGACUGACGCUCGGGGACGAAAGCGUGGGUAGCAAAAG
rnacentral:rRNA from 1 species